rnacentral:rRNA from 1 species
UACGUAGGGUGCAAGCGUUGUCCGGAAUCAUUGGGCGUAAAGCGCGCGUAGGCGGCCCGGUAAGUCCGCUGUAAAAGUCAACGGCUCAACUGUUGAAAGCCGGUGGAUACUGUCGGGCUAGAGUACGGAAGAGGCAAGUGGAAUUCCUGGUGUAGCGGUGGAAUGCGCAGAUAUCAGGAGGAACACCUAUAGCGAAGGCAGCUUGCUGGGACGUUACUGACGCUAAGGCGCGAAAGCGUGGGGAGCGAACAGG